CCAUUAUUUACCAAAGGCACCUUGCAAUUUUAACCAAAUAUUUUUAAAAUUUCGUUGCUCCACCGUUCCAAUUUUUACCAAAUGCACCUUGCAAUUUUAUCCAAAUAUUUUUAAAAAAAUUUCGUUGCUCCACCGUUCCGUACCAUUUAAACAAUCAUGCAAAUAUAUUCUUUUUAGUAAACCAUCAUGCAAAUAUAUUCCUUUUAGUAAAUUUUACAAAACUGUAUAUACGUUUUAUCGAACUAUAAAAAAACUACAGAUUUAAAACAUUGUAUCACAUAUAACACUAAAUUUAUCACAAGAUUUGAUAUAUAUCGAAGUUAUGAUAAAACUAUAGAUUUUAUAGAUCAGAUCUCUAGUAUUGAUGUCAUAUAGGGCUAUAAGUGUUAUAGUUUUGUGAUUAAAUGGAUUUGAAGCCAGUAGUUUUGUGAUAAGAUAUUUUUAUUAAAUCUAUAAUUUUAUGAUACUUGAACUUAAAUCUAUUGUUUUGUUAUAAAUGUAAUACUACCUCCGUCCCAAAAUAUAGCCAUUUUUAGCUAUGAAUCUAGACAUUGUUUUUAGCUAUGAAUCUAGACAUACAAUGUCCAAAUUCAUAACUAAAAAUGCUUAUAUUUUGGAACGGAGUGAGUAUUAAAUUUGUAGUUUUGUGAUAUAACAUUUUAAAUCUGUAUCUUUACUAUUUGUAG
rnacentral:precursor_RNA from 2 species